CUCUUCUCUGUUCCUCACAGAGAGACGAGAGAAGCAACUAUGAGUUUAACAGCAGCAGCCAGUGGAUUCGUUGUCUUCCUCCUCUCUGUGUCAGUGGUUCAGGCUCAGGAUGAUUGGGGAGUGACUUACACUUCUACUCACAUCUGUGCCUUAAAAGGAUCAACAGUGAACAUAAAGUGUACCUACAGAUACCCAUCCAUGAUAAAUAA